UACGGGGGGGGCAAGCGUUGUUCGGAAUUACUGGGCGUAAAGGGCUCGUAGGCGGCCAACUAAGUCGGAUGUGAAAUCCCCAGGCUCAACUUGGGAACUGCAUCCGAUACUGGAUGGCUUGAAUUCGGGAGAGGGAUGCAGAAUUCCAGGUGUAGCGGUGAAAUGCGUAGAUAUCUGGAGGAACACCGGUGGCGAAGGCGGCAUCCUGGACCAACACUGACACUGAUGAGCGAAAGCCAGGGGAGCAAACGGG
rnacentral:rRNA from 1 species